AGGUGUAGCGAUCUGGGCGCACAACUUGCAAAAAGCUCCCUUGCUGAAGGUUAAUUUCUUCCCCAUGUCCUUGUUCAAACCCAAUCCCGUACGUACGCAGUCGCAGCGACCUAAAAUUCCCCUCCACAACGGCGGCGACGGCGCCGGGCCGGACCCCUCAACCAGCGAGUACGCACACCCGAGGUGAUGUUCCAUCUCUCCGAUGGCUUGUGCCCGCGGUGCCGCCGGUGGCCCAGUUUGAAGCCGACCAGAUCGGAGCUCGUGGACUGCUAAGAUCCGCGCCGCAGUGUGCUCGUCACGGCCUCCCAUCUCAGGCUCCGGCAGCGGCUGAUUCGUCACCGCCUCUACAGCAUCAGCCCGCGUCCUCCUCGACCUCGUCGGCUGCAAGUCGUUGGUGAGCUCCUCGGCUCCUUCCGGACCGGCCCCUGUGACGUGGUGCGAAGCUACAAGGUGUCACCAUGGUGGUUAAUUUUUCUAGUAAAUACUCCACAAGUUAAUACUCCAUCUCAAUUUUUUUGGUGGUUAAUCAUUCACCUGCGAUGGAGUAGAUGUUAACUUGUAGUAUUAGCUAGUACUUUUGUGCUUCAUCUCAAUUUUAUUAGCUAGUAGAGUGUAUGAUGCAUAUCUAUAGUUUUAUUUUCUUGUACUUGUUCAUGUCAAAUCAGCUCGUGUGUGAAUGUUGCACUUUUGCAACUUCGAUUUGAUGAUGUAUUGCUACUGUUCUUGGUGGUUUGGCAGUCUAAUUUGGACAUUCUGUUUAACUGUUAAGUACUCUGGAGAACCAAGUUAGUAGGUUGAGGACGGGUAGAUAAUCCUUAAUUUGAAAUUAGGACAUUGCGCUGAAAAUAUUAAUAUCUACGGUUGUUCCGUUCGUCACAAGACGCAUCCAUUCGGUGAAAAGUUGAUGGACAGUUAGCUCUUUUUAAUUGUGAAGAUUACAAUUACCAAUUCCUAUAAUAAAUGUAUUGUAUUAUAAUUUAGCAGUUCUAGACACACCCUUCUGAGUUCUGACCAUUAGUUCAAGACAUGGAUGGAGCCAUUAGCAGACUCGAUCCAUGAGCAUACAUUAUACUAUAUGUUUGGUGAAAAGAAGAGAAAAAACAAAUUAACCAAUGUAACAUUUGGGCAAGUAGAAUCUGACCUGAAUAGUAAGGGGCAGCAAAUUGUACAACCUGAAAUACCUAUCUGAGUGGCACAUAUAGCAAGCCUAGAUUUCUUUUUCUUCUCCUUAUUCUACUGUAUGCUAGGAUGUCAAUGGGUACUAGACUACUAGUACAUCCGUAGUACUACUAGUGCUACUGUAAUAUAUAUAAGGUGGGUAGGAGAGAAAUUACCCCGGGAGAGUAAGAAUAGAAUGCCAAAGAAUUAUUGCUAGUAGACUCCGACAACAAACUUAGGAUGCACUAAUGAAAUACGAUUUGUUCUUGUUGAGUUCUUUUCUGGUCAAAUAGAGUUUUUGUUUGGAGAGUUAUUGUAUACCGGCGCACACAAUAAUCCUGAUUCCUGAAAACCCAACUGAGGUAGAAAUCAUCAGUUGUAUGUUGUACAUUAAUAAACCUUGUUAACAGAAAAAUCUUGAACCUGUAUUUCACAUCUUCCUGCGGCUUUGUGACCUUAUUAUGAGUUACGAGUCACUAGAAAAGCAAAGGUUCUUGCUUGUUGUUUUGAAAGAUAAAUGAUCUCGGGCUCCAUGGUGACAAUUGAAUUCCUGUUGUUUUGAAAGAUAGCAUGUGCAGCAGCACUAUCAGGUGAGAACAUCGGUCCAAGAAAGUAAGAAUAUGUUUGAUGUGCCUAACAUUAUGUUGAUCCCAUGUUCGUGAAAAUUCUUUGCAGCCAUGGAAUCGGUCAACAGUGCUCAACGAUUAAUUCCGCAAUGCUUCUAUAGUGAUGAUGUUAUGUUUGAUGUCUCCCAGGACAAGAAGCUCGAGCAAGAAGCACUACGGCUGGAGGCAACUGUUCUGUACCAUCAAAGUAGCAACGUUGAUGCAGUUUUCGCUAGCAAUGGUUGUUGAUCCUGUCAUGUUAUUUAUAACUUUAUGUAUAUCUUCUUGUGUUGUGCCUGGGAUGCUCUAGUGUGACAUGUACUCAACAAUUGUUCCAGGGAUAGUCCAGUUUGAUAUGUAGAAUUCCUUGUGCCUGAGAUGGUUCAACUUACACGUACUCACUCAUUAGUGCCUGUGAUGGUCCAGUUGGCCAUGUAGUUGAAGAGGCCAAGAGGGUGUUUUGAUUUUUUUUCAUGUACUUAAAUAUCUUUGACAGAUGUUUACAUACUCUUGAUUGAUCAUCUUGUUCAACUUUCUGGCAUAAUUAGUUGAUA